rnacentral:rRNA from 1 species
GGCUCUUUGCUCACAUAAAUAUAAAGAGUCGAGCCUGCCCAGUGAAUUUUUUUUUAACGGCCGCGGUACUCUGACCGUGCAAAGGUAGCAUAAUCAUUUGCCUUAUAAUUGAAGGCUAGUAUGAAUGGUUUGACGAGAGCAACACUGUCUCCUUUUUAUUUUCAAAAACUUAACUUUUAGGUGAAGAGGCCUAAAUUUUAUUGAAGGACAAGAAGACCCUGUCGAGCUUAAAAGACAUUAUAGGAGUCUAAUAUAUUUUUAAAUAAAUUUCUGUUAAGCUUUUUAGUUGGGGCGACUAAGGAACAAAAAAAGCUUCUUUCUAAUGGAUAAACAAUCAUGUUUGGAUCCGAUAAUAGCGAUCAAAGAAAUUAGUUACCGCAGGGAUAACAGCAUAAUCUCUCUUAAGAGACCUAAUCGAAAGAGGGGGUUGUGACCUCGAUGUUGGACUAGAAUAUCCUAAAGAUGCAGAAGUCUUUAAGGGUCGGUCUGUUCGACCGUUAAAAUUCU